UCAAACAAGGCCCCCCGGCUGGAUGGGGAGGGGGAUUCCCUCGAGAGUAUCCACCAACCAGUGGGGACCUUGGGCAGUGGACUGAGCCGAGUACGCAUGAAAACGCCCACCGUGCGGGGGGUCCUGGACCUGGAUGCCCCUGGGGAGCCGAGCAGGGAGGAGAGUCCCAUGACCCUCCCUGACCG